AGUCGACACAAUGCCACGUACACAGGCGUGCAGCUGCGCUCGCGAACGUGAGCCCAAGCCAGACCAGCGUGCGGCACACGUUGUCAUUUCCGUCGUGAAACAUUUGACCACGUUAUAACGCUAAUAUCGCGCGUCACCGUGUCAAGGGUGAGAGUUGAAUAUUUAAUUCGCGGUAUUGUCGGAGCCCUUGGUGCCGCUCGAUUGCUUCUUUCUUUCCGUCUCCUCUGUGCACUCGGUUCCGACUAAUUAAUCGUGAGAUUUCUUUUGCUGCUGCUUGCGUCACGAGCAACGAUUCCGAUAAUGGAUGGCGGACGUUCAUAUAUUACGUAGAUGUACUCUUCAUAAACUUUUUCGAAGGGUCUUGCUGCGAACACGUUGAAUGGUAACCAUGGAAAAUUGGGUAAACCCGGCCGCCGGAAUAUUGCACGUUGUCAUCAAAGGAUUAAUUGAAAAUGGAGAUGACAUUGUCGCCGCUUGAAAAUUACUGGGAAUGUGGAUUAUCGGAGCGCCAGGUAUAAACGUAUCUCUAUUUAUAACGUCACUUCCAAUUGGGAUAUUUGAAUUGACGGCAUUAUGAUUGCAACAAACCCAAAGGAUAAUCGCAAUACCGUUUUACAUUUGCAACGGUAAAUGAACAGCAGUAAAGUAACUAUGUCAGGAUAUACCACUGUAUGAAUAAAUGAAAGGUGCAAGCUCUUGAUUAGAGGUAAGAGGUUUAAAUCUGAACUAAAACUAUGAAUUCAACUGCUCCUUUAAAGUACUUGUGUGGUUGGAACUACAUUAGCUUAUUGUUAGUAAUAAUACUAAUUUUAUUAUAUAUGAAUGCAUUGAUACGCAAAAUGUAAUUUCGCGUUUACAAGAGCUUACCAUGUACUGUAUGUAUACAUGCGAAAUAAUUGAAGGAUUCGAAAUUAAUUUACAACACUGGAGAUUGUAUAUUUAGUACAAUGAUGUAGUAAUUAUAAUGGCUACUAAUAAUAUAUAGAUGCGUUAUAGAUAAUUUCGAAUUAUUAGUUGUUGCAUAUGAUAGAAUUAGCGAUUAUAGACUGUUAUCUAAAGUAUAAACUAUUUAAGUUUCGUGUAAUGAUUUGUAUAAAUGUGCUUUUAUUGCUAAUUGUUUAGUAUUGUUUAUAAUAUGAAUACACGUAUUGAAAUUCUGUAAAAAUUUACCGUACUUUGGAUGUAAACUGAAAUUGUUAUGAGAGAAGAUUUUUGCACGUCACGAAAUAUUUCUUUAUUUUUAAACAAAUAUAAUAUAUAAUGUGUACAAAGUGAAAUGCAUAUGUCAAUAAAAUUAAUGUUUAUGAAAUUACAAAC